GACGAACGCUGGCGGCGUGCCUAAUACAUGCGAGUAGAACGCUGAAGCGAGGAGCUUGCUCUUCUUGGAUGAGUUGCGAACGGGUGAGUAACGCGUAGGUAACCUGCCUUGUAGCGGGGGAUAACUAUUGGAAACGAUAGCUAAUACCGCAUAACAAUGGAUGACACAUGUCAUUUAUUUGAAAGGGGCAAUUGCUCCACUACAAGAUGGACCUGCGUUGUAUUAGCUAGUAGGUGAGGGAACGGCUCACCUAGGCGACGAUACAUAGCCGACCUGAGAGGGUGAUCGGCCACACUGGGACUGAGACACGGCCCAGACUCCUACGGGAGGCAGCAGUAGGGAAUCUUCGGCAAUGGGGGCAACCCUGACCGAGCAACGCCGCGUGCGUGAAGAAGGGUGUCGGAUCGUAAAGCUCUGUUGUAAGUCAAGAACGAGUGUGAGAGUGGAAAGUUCACACUGUGACGGUAGCUUACCAGAAAGGGACGGCUAACUACGUG
rnacentral:rRNA from 1 species